rnacentral:lncRNA from 1 species
CGAAUCUCCGUGAUCUUCACCUACAAACACAAGAAAGGAAAGAAAAUCAAAUCAAAUCAGAUCCAAAUCAAGCAGAUUCCUUGUUUCUAUUAUUGUUUUAUUUUCAUUCGAUUAUAAGAGGACAUCGAACACACUGUAAUGGGGGCCGAUUUCGAAAUUAGAAAUAAAAAAGACUUCUACUUACGCAAUAUAGAGAACCAAAAAAACCGAAUCAAAGGUUGUUACUUGCAUUUUUUUCUGUUAUAUGUAUUUAUUUUUAUCGCUUAUUUAUAAAUAAUACAAGAGGAAAGAAAGAACCGGGGUUUGAAGCCCUAACCGCCGUGAACGGCUGAGGAAUCGUCUCCGAGGAAAGACGGUCAGAAAUCAGAAAGUCUCUCGGGCUUUUAAGGCGAUUCCACGAAUAUUUGGAGGGUUUUGUGCCCGGAUUUACGCUUAGAGGCCUAGAGGGAACCAGAUCUGAGAAUUUUUUUUCGGUAACCGUAUACGGCGGUGCCGACG